GUGGGGAAUUUUGGACAAUGGGCGAAAGCCUGAUCCAGCCAUGCCGCGUGCAGGAUGAAGGCCUUCGGGUUGUAAACUGCUUUUGUACGGAACGAAAAGACUCCUUCUAAUAAAGGGGGUCCAUGACGGUACCGUAAGAAUAAGCACCGGCUAACUACGUGCCAGCAGCCGCGGUAAUACGUAGGGUGCAAGCGUUAAUCGGAAUUACUGGGCGUAAAGCGUGCGCAGGCGGUUAUAUAAGACAGAUGUGAAAUCCCCGGGCUCAACCUGGGAAUUGCGCUUGUGACUGCAAGGCUGGAGUGCGGCAGAGGGGGAUGGAAUUCCGCGUGUAGCAGUGAAAUGCGUAGAUAUGCGGAGGAACACCGAUGGCGAAGGCAAUCCCCUGGGCCUGCACUGACGCUCAUGCACGAAAGCGUGGGGAGCAAACAGGAUUAGAUACCCGAGUAGUCC
rnacentral:rRNA from 1 species